UACAGAGGGGGCAAGCGUUAUUCGGAAUUAUUGGGCGUAAAGGGCGCGUAGGCGGCUUGGCAAGUGGAAGGUGAAAUCCCUCGGCUUAACCGAGGAACUGCCCUCCAAACUGUUUGGCUUGAGACCGGGAGAGGUGAGUGGAAUUCCCAGUGUAGCGGUGAAAUGCGUAGAUAUUGGGAGGAACACCAGUGGCGAAGGCGGCUCACUGGACCGGUACUGACGCUGAUGCGCGAAAGCGUGGGGAGCAAACGGG
rnacentral:rRNA from 1 species